CCUGAUUGGGUAGGGGAGCGUUGUGUAAGCGGAAGAAGGUGACUCGAGAGGGUUGCUGGACGUAUCACAAGUGCGAAUGCUGACAUAAGUAACGAUAAAGGGGGUGAAAAACCCCCUCGCCGGAAGACCAAGGGUUCCUGUCCAACGUUAAUCGGGGCAGGGUGAGUCGGCCCCUAAGGCGAGGCUGAAGAGCGUAGUCGAUGGGAAACGGGUUAAUAUUCCCGUACUUGUGAUAAGAGCGAUGUGGGGACGGAGCAGGUUAGGUUAUCCGGGUGACGGAAGUCCCGGUCCAAGCGUGUAGGAUGGAUGAUUAGGCAAAUCCGGUCAUCUAAAUCAGAGGCGUGACGGGGAGGCACUACGGUGCUGAAGUAACCGAUACCACACUUCCAGGAAAAGCCGCUAAGCUUAUCUUAUCAUAAACCGUA
rnacentral:rRNA from 1 species